AGGAGUGUAGCUCAACUGGAAGAGCACCGGUCUCCAAAACCGGGGGUUGGGGGUUCGAGCCCCUCCACUCCUGCCA
rnacentral:tRNA from 1 species